UCUCUCUGCUGAAGAAGCAACAAUUGGUACACAGACUGCAGAGCCAGCAAUAACAAAUCAAUUCCAAGCCACUCCGAGAUAGAUCCGCACCCGGACCACGUCCAACAAACAAUGCACACAUACACAUCGACAAAUCGUUCAUUUCCGCUGGGCACAUAACACCCCCACCAUUUUCCCCGCCUCAAUUUACAGUUUAGCUCGCUAGCUCGAGAGAACUGGCAUCCAUUCAUACUCUCUCUCUCUCGCGCGCGCACACGUAAUAUAUGUACGCGCACUUUUGCUUUUCAUUAAAGUCCUCUCCCAGACCACGGGCAGUAAAUUACCGAGUCGGCAUAGUAUAAAGAAUAUCCGCAGCGAGGAUAAUGCCGCAUCCGCGGAUAUUUAUCGAGGAGAAGAAGCUGGAUAUGAGUUACAGCCGGAGAUAUAGCGAUACUCCUCGUCUGCGGAUGCUGAUCGAGUUGGAUCCCGAGCUGCGGCUUGCUCGCGGAAUUCGGCCUGAGGAUUGAUGCUGCGCUGCGAGUGUGUAUUGUUGUAAUGCAAACGGCAAUUUGGGAAUAAAAACACUAUACGUUUGAA